rnacentral:lncRNA from 1 species
UUAUUUUCCCCCAUCUAUGUGGAUAGUUUGAUUUUAUAGUUUGAUUUUUGUGUGUUGAAGUAUAAGUUAUGUUCACAAAUCUUGACUGGUUUUGUUCUCAGUCAAUCUUCAUCUGCAUAUGCUUGUUCUACAUCUCGAUGUUGAAAGACAAAAGUUGGGCGUAAUUUUUGUGUACUAAUUUGUUGUAUAUCUCGCUUAAUUUGCACAUUUGGAUGUAAGAAGAGUUGUCUUAUUUCAUUAAAUGAAUGAUUUUCUUUUAACACAUUUUCUCUCUAGUUCCUCAAGGCCUAAUUAACCUGAACUACAAAAUCUACGUUUUAGACUUGAGAUAUACGAGAAUGAGAGAGAGAUGGUGAUUGAGAAAAAACAAGUGGAUAGGAGAGCUUGGCUAGGGUUGAUUUUACCUUCUUCAUUGUUUUCCCUUCAGGUUCUUGAUUUUUUUCCCUUCGGGUUCUUGUAUCUCUGAUUGCAAUACACGAUCAAUAAACCUCCUAUACUCAAGAGCAUCAUCUGAAACAUAUAUGAUGUUUAGUGAGAUUUAGUCAUUUUUUAGGUCUCGACUAGUAGAAUUCAUUUGAUUUAGUCAUUUUUGUUAGCUCUCUGUUUGUUUAUAAUGAAUGAAAGACUAGUAGAAUUCAUUUGAUUUACUCCUUUUUGUAGCUCUCUGUUUGUUUAUAAUGAAUGAAAGACUAGUAGAAUUCAUUUUCUCACAUGUGUACCUACUGAUUGUUCGUUCCUGAAUUUUUUUUGCACUUUGUUUCCCCUAUUAUCUGGGACUCUAUCUGUUUGUACUUUAAUUAGUGAAAAUGUAACCAUGUUACAGAUACUGCUUGUCAUGCCUACUGGCUACUGCCAGGUGCGGAACAACUUUAAUGAGUAAAUUCUAGGAUACUGUUAUUAAGUGGUUUUCAUUUAUCCAACGACUAGUGCAAUGUAGGCAGAAUUAUGGUUUUCGUAACAUCUUUGCCUGAGAGAUUAAAGGUCGUAUUAACUCUUAUUGUUUUUCAUUUUCCUUAAGUUUCUCCUCUCUUAUGUUCUUCUUGCCUCUUCAACAACUGCUGAACUGUGUCACUAAGACGGACAUUCGUUCUGACCAGACAUUUCAGUACUUUGACAUGCUUAUUUUGGAUAUUAUGCACUGUCAAGGUUUGCUUGAACCUUACUCCAUUUAAUUAUAUAUUUCCUCAUGAGCCAUAUAAAUUUCUUGUUGGGUGUAUCACUAUCCAUUAUCAUAGUCAGGUCUAUCAUCUUCAUGAGAUUUACACUCUGCUUAUUCCUUCAUGAUAUUCUUACACUUUUUUGCCAACUAUGUUUUCAUGUGCUGACUUUGAUCUGCCUUUUCUGCAGUCAUCCUCUUGUUUGUUGGCGUUGAACAAUCUUGCCUACUUAGUGCUAGCAUGAGUUAUCAGUAUCUCCGCCCUCUCCUUUCUAUUUGCUGCAGCUUCACUCUAUUCUUAAAAAUAUUUCCAGUUCCAGUUUUAGCAUUCAUUUUGUCAUAGUUUACUCAUCCAUGCGCACAUGUGUAUCAACGGAUUAUUCCUGACUUUUUCAUUCUUCUUUUUCCCCUGUGAUCAUGUGUCAAACGUGCCUGGGACUGUAUCCCCUAUAAUGAAGGAUAUGUGUCGGUCUUUGUUCACUUUAAUUAGUGAAAAUGUAUUGUGAAGACUAUUCUGUGAUGAUGUCGGAUUUUAGUUGAGAAUAAUUAGUAAAAUGACAAGAACACAUUUUUUUUGCAUCAAAUACACUUUUGCACCCGAGUGGCAUCAUUUUAUGUUAUGGUAAGGAUAAGUUAAAAGGAAAAAGGAAAGGAAGACGUGUCCUGAAGCAUGGUAUGGGUUGAUGGAACUUUGUAAUGUUUCAUUUUAUUGUUAUAUUUGUAUUUCUGUUAAGGGGGAUAUUUUCAGCUUUAAAGGUUUUUGCAUAACUUGUUUUUUUCCAUGUUCCUCGCAUUGGAGAUUUGCUUAAUGUGUCUCUAUUUUCUUCAUUUUCCUGUACCAUCAUGGUCUAUUAAUCAUAUGACACCUUAGUACUUGCUAAAAGAAACCAUGACACCCUAGUAUACUCACCGGAUUCUUGAAGAAAUGCGUCCAAAUAUGGGAGAAUAGUAAGUUGUCGGUAACAAUCUGGUAUUUAAGUGGAGAGGAGUAGAGGAGCAGGCCCAUUAUCACUGAGUUUAGAAAACUGCGGUUGGUCCCAAUGCUUGUCCCGAGAUGGAUUUCUCAGUCAUAAGAAAAAAGUUGUCUAUGGAACUUUCUGACUCUUUUCUUGAAACUUUUGCUAUUCGUCAGGAGUUACGACUGCAGAAUGGAUUUAUCAUUAAUAUCAUCAUCUGCUACUACUCAUCAUUUUUCAUGAUUUUCCAUGGUUGCAGAAGACUUACUCAUUUGCAGUGAGGGAUACCCUGAUCAGUGUUGGCCCUCUAAAAAUCUUUUUGUAUGGUAUGAGAAUUAAUGAACUAGAAUUGCUAAGCUUAGUAAUGAAGUGGUUAGUUUUCUUGUUGAUAGCACGCCUAGCUUGACAGCAUGACUGGUUAGUUUACAAUUGCUCUGUUAAAUAGUAAAAUAUCCUACCAGCUUGUCGUCUCUGUACCAUUUUGUAUGGCUAGUUUGACUUCAUUAUGCGAGUGAGCUAUCUGUCUUACACAUUAAUGAUCAGGAAACCAACAUAAAGUUUAGUAUUUGGUGGUAUCCAUGAAUUACAUUACAUUUUCGUCGGGAACAUACUAUCUUGCUGUCGGUUUGAAUGCUAUGAAAAGUUGGAUUCUGUAAGUGUGGGCCUUCUCCAUUUGUAUGUAACACAAAAUUUUGAUGGAAUCUUGUUUAUAGGCUUUACUUUAUUCUUUUUUUUGAAGAAGAAAUAAUUUCAUUGAUAUGACCUAACAUGUACAAGUGUAUUUUUAACCUCCUCAAGAGAUCUCUUGUCACUCUCAUCCAAAAGGAUCCAAAUACGUGCCAAAGGAACGUUCUCCCAUGCUUCUACUUCUCCAGUUGAUGACCUUGCUGGUUAGGACAUCUUUUACUGUCCCUGGCUUGAUGAUGGAUCAACAGGUGAUUCAUGUUAUCUCCCAUUGUUUUUACACAUUUAGCUCCACCUGGUGUGCAAACUUUACCUUUUCUUGAGAUGCCUAUCAUGUGGAUAUAUCCUAGCUGCCAGUCACGUGAAGAAUCACAUAUUGUUCUUUGGAGCUUUAGUUAUCCAAAUUAUGAUGUAUAGUAGCAAUUCUGCUUCUUAUGGAUUCAUCAUAGUAGGCAAUGGGAAGAACUUGGUAUAAUGGUACACUACAUUUAUGUUUCAUGAUGUCAAACUACCCUAUUAUAGCUAGUUUAGGCAGUUUGGAACAUCACCUGAGCUUUUUGUGUAUGUCUCUUAACAACUUUCAAAGGAGGAUGAAGAAGAAGAUGAGUACUUGCCCUCAAUUAAAUCCAAAAGAAAAAAGUGGUGUUGUUGUCACAAUUCAAACCAAACUCUUGUUUGUGCUAUAAAUAGCUAACAUUUUUAUUGUAUUAGUUCAACAAAUUGCAAUGUGCAUUCUCAUAUUCCUUGCCUGUUUAAUUUCUGGUUAAAAGAACAGCUUUACUAGUUGAAUCUUUUUCAUUCUUAAAAAGAGGAUUUGACAUCAGUAUCAGUUCAUGCCUUGAGAAUGAGGACAAAUGUCUCAAAGCUCCAAGAGAAGAAGAGAAUAAACUAUUGAAUUCUAGUGAAGUUGCAUCUCUGCACACGUUAUCUCAAUUUGAAUAGUUCUUGGUUCCUUCAUUAUUAUUUAAAACAUAUGCUACUCUAUGUCAAGUGAUGGUGUGUCAC